rnacentral:rRNA from 1 species
UACAGAGGUCUCAAGCGUUGUUCGGAUUCAUUGGGCGUAAAGGGUGCGUAGGUGGCAUGGUAAGUUGAAAGGUGAAAUCUCGGAGCUCAACUCCGAAACUGCCCUUCAAUACUGCUGUGCUUGAGGGACUGUAGAGGGAGAAUGGAAAUUCACGGGUGUAGCAGUGAAAAUGCGUAGAUAUCGUGAGGAAGACCAGUGGGC